rfam:Oryza brachyantha chromosome 10, whole genome shotgun sequence.
GCGUACCGGUGAUGAUUAAAGAACUAAAAAUAAUGGUGAAUUUGAUGACUGUGUUGACGUACUACCGGGUGCGCAGCUGUGGUGAUAUUUGAAUCCUUGUUCAUCUGAGGCUCGC